CUGGAUGACCUCUCAAGGUCCCCUCCAGCUUUAUUUUCUAUGAUUUAUUAAGAUAGGAGCUUGCCAAAGCCUUGAGCUUUUCUCUACAUGGGCUUGCUAUGUUAAUGUGGCAAUCACAGAAAGAGCUGCAACCUUAAUCCUUUUCUCUCCUUCCCACCAGGAGCAGUGUCCAUAAAUCUCUCCGAACAAGGCAGACUCAAGCCUCUCUUGAGUUUCAGAGACAGUGCAAGCCUGUAUAGACACCUUGUAUGUCACAUCUGUCUGGAAGAGCAGAACAUCUGGGUAAGGAAAUACAUGUUUUAAAGUGAAAUUUGUUUGAAGAGACUGCUCAAAGGACUGAGAAAACUAGGCAACUUAAUGGAGGUGGCCUUCUAGCAAAAGGUUUGCUUGGAGAGGGCCAGACCUUAGCUCUGACCAACAGGCUGCUGGCUGCUUGCCUCCAUCGUAGCAUCUGCACACAUUUCCAACACAUCCAGAAAAGUGCAUAGCCAUUAUAAAAUAAUGUGAGCGUUGCAGCUUCAAGGGAGUCACCUGGCUGCGUGUACUUUUCAAAGCAACCUUCUUACUGCUGCAAAUGAACUGCCUCGAUCAGAUCAAUGCACAGCCUAAAACUUGUCACCUAAGUCAAACCAAUAGUUCAAAUCCUGGAUUAGGCACUGGCUCCCCAAACUACACCAAAACCCUACCACACUGAUCUUUGUAUACCACUAUAUAUAUCAAGAUAAGGAGAGGAAGAAAGUUGAGAUAAAAAGGAAGUGCUGCAGCUCAAGAAGCUAAGAUGUAGCUCUUGUUACUAAAGCUGCAGUUUACCACUGAUGGAUCCAUUCUCUCUCGUUUUAAGACUAGACGAACAUGCCCAGAGCAAGCACACUGAGGUAGCUACAUGAAUGCAAAUCCCUGCCGGACAAACCAGGGCUUGCAAUGAUUUGAUAUAUAUACAGAUAUGACCUACGCCCUCACCCUUGUUAUCUUCAAUGGAGCUGCAAAGAUGCAGAUAAGGACAGAAUGUGGCCAAAGACAGGAGCAGGGCAGUUAAUCACAGCUGAUACAGAGAACACGAACACAUGUAUGGCGAUCAUCAAAAGGGUCAACUAAAGACUGUUUCAGCCUGAACGGCAAUAUUCCCAUUGACUGCAGGACAUCCAAAGUCAGGUGCACGCUGAAGCGAUGCUGUCCUUCACAUGGCGAUAAAAAAUGUUGUAAGUUUGGUGUAACACUGGUACAGCGUCCGGACCACAUACUGAGCGCUGGAUGAUGGAUGAGUGGGUAGGUAGAAAAGUAGAGCUCCUUCAUUGUCUGAUCUGGGUUGGGACUUGCAACUUUUAGAGUUAAAAGGUUCUGAAAAGUCAUCGUAACCAAUUCUUUGAGGUUCUAACUGUUAGAAACUAACAGUUCUGGCAGGAGAUAUGCCUAUUUACUUUAAGCAUCUGCCCAUCAAAAAUAAAAGAACAGAAAAAUCCCCCA
ensembl:lncRNA